CCCCGCAAGGGGAGCGGCAGACGGGUGAGUAACGCGUGGGAACGUACCUUUUGCUACGGAAUAACUCAGGGAAACUUGUGCUAAUACCGUAUGUGCCCUUCGGGGGAAAGAUUUAUCGGCAAAGGAUCGGCCCGCGUUGGAUUAGCUAGUUGGUGAGGUAAAGGCUCACCAAGGCGACGAUCCAUAGCUGGUCUGAGAGGAUGAUCAGCCACACUGGGACUGAGACACGGCCCAGACUCCUACGGGAGGCAGCAGUGGGGAAUAUUGGACAAUGGGCGCAAGCCUGAUCCAGCCAUGCCGCGUGAGUGAUGAAGGCCCUAGGGUUGUAAAGCUCCUUCACCGGUGAAGAUAAUGACGGUAACCGGAGAAGAAACCCCGGCUAACUUCUUGCCCGCAGCCCCGGUAAUACAAAGGGGGCUAGCGUUGUUCGUAUUUACUGGGCGUAAAGCGCACGUAGGCGGACUUUUAAGUCCGGGGUGAAAUCCCCGGGCUCAACCCCCCGGAACUGCC
rnacentral:rRNA from 1 species